CUAGCAGAUAAAAAGUCCGUAACGGUGGCAACCAAAAUAAAGCCUAGAUUGAUGAAGCUGAGGAGAGACAACAAAACAGUCAUUUCAACAAGUUGACUUAGCGCUCAGUCACUUUCCAUCCAAUAGACCCAUCAUGCUGUCAAAAGUCUAAAACCCAAGUUUGAAGCACACAUAUUGUGGAAUACAAAUGUGUGGAUACAAGGCAUUUCCCCACCACACCAACCACACCACGCCAAAUGCCUUACUAAAUUCAUCACCAUUCACCCAUAUCAUAAAGCAUCAGGAAAUUUACCUCAACCCAAGGAGUAACACUGUUGGUUGCUGUGAUUUCCAUUUUUACGGUUUUUUAUCAUGAAAAUUUCAGUGUGCUUGUUAGUAUAGAGCACGUAAUAGAUCCUUAAGCCAAUGCUGACCUUUGUCCAUGAAGGAAGAGGGACAUCCAGCAACGUUCUACUCCAUCCUUAUAUCUUCCCGACGUACGCUCAUCUAGCUUCUCUGCUUUUGCUGCUAAAACUUGUCUUACUUCACCGACGAGUUGGAACACUUCAGUGGUAGCUACCCUUUGCUGUUACACACUUGCAGUUAGUCACCACAGGAUUAUGCCCAGAUAACGCAGAGGAGACGUCGAGAAGAUGGAUUUUCUCAUCUUUAAAAAUCGUCACAAGUCCGUCGGAUUGCCUCUUCUUCUGGUGCGAACGAAACUCGGUGGAGUGAAUGGAUAAUGCGCCAACAAAAUACUUCUGGCAAUGGAAAGGGGCCAUCACUGGAAAACGGAAAGUGACAAUCGCCACCGUCACCGAGACUCGUCAUCAACGUGGAUCAUCAGUAUUGUUGGAAUUAUUGUGUUUGUGUUAGUGUUAGUUAACCCGUUGUCUGCCACGCCUUUGUUCUCCCAGCACGGGCUGCGUGCGCUGUUC
rnacentral:lncRNA from 1 species